rnacentral:lncRNA from 1 species
UGGGCCAUGUGGGUUUGAUCUUGAUGAACUUGUUCAUACAUAGAUUUAGAAAAUCAGUAUACGGCUGGGCAUUCACUCACGAAGUGGGAGGGGCUCGAACAUAUUGUGCAAACUUGUUGCACAGAAAGAUAAGAUGGAUAAGGAGAGUGUCUGAUGGAUUCUAGAUAUUCUAAUUUAUGGGACAGCUCAUCCAAUCUAUUAUUGAGAUCCAU